rnacentral:rRNA from 1 species
GGUUAAGCGACUAAGCGUACACGGUGGAUGCCCUGGCAGUCAGAGGCGAUGAAGGACGUGCUAAUCUGCGAAAAGCGCCGGCGAGGUGAUAUGAACCCUUGACCCGGCGAUGUCCGAAUGGGGAAACCCAGUGUGUUCCGACACACUAUCGUUAACUGAAUACAUAGGUUAACGAGGCGAACCGGGGGAACUGAAACAUCUAAGUACCCCGAGGAAAAGAAAUCAACCGAGAUUCCCCCAGUAGCGGCGAGCGAACGGGGAGCAGCCCGGAGUCUGAAUCAGCUUGUGUGUUAGUGGAACGGUCUGGAAAGUCCGACGGUACAGGGUGAUAGUCCCGUACACGAAAACACACUUGCUGUGAACUCGAAGAGUAGGGCGGGACACGUGGUAUCCUGUCUGAAUAUGGGGGGACCAUCCUCCAAGGCUAAAUACUCCUGACUGACCGAUAGUGAACCAGUACCGUGAGGGAAAGGCGAAAAGAACCCCGGCGAGGGGAGUGAAAAAGAACCUGAAACCGUGUACGUACAAGCAGUGGGAGCCUCUUUAUGGGGUGACUGCGUACCUUUUGUAUAAUGGGUCAGCGACUUAUAUUCUGUAGCAAGGUUAACCGUAUAGGGGAGCCGAAGGGAAACCGAGUCUUAACUGGGCGUUAAGUUGCAGGGUAUAGACCCGAAACCCGGUGAUCUAGCCAUGGGCAGGUUGAAGGUUGGGUAACACUAACUGGAGGACCGAACCGACUAAUGUUGAAAAAUUAGCGGAUGACCUGUGGCUGGGGGUGAAAGGCCAAUCAAACCGGGAGAUAGCUGGUUCUCCCCGAAAGCUAUUUAGGUAGCGCCUCGUGAACUCAUCUUCGGGGGUAGAGCACUGUUUCGGCUAGGGGGCCAUCCCGGCUUACCAACCCGAUGCAAACUACGAAUACCGAAGAAUGUUAUCACGGGAGACACACGGCGGGUGCUAACGUCCGUCGUGAAGAGGGAAACAACCCAGACCGCCAGCUAAGGUCCCAAAGUCAUGGUUAAGUGGGAAACGAUGUGGGAAGGCACAGACAGCCAGGAUGUUGGCUUAGAAGCAGCCAUCAUUUAAAGAAAGCGUAAUAGCUCACUGGUCGAGUCGGCCUGCGCGGAAGAUGUAACGGGGCUAAACCAUGCACCGAAGCUGCGGCAGCGACACUAUGUGUUGUUGGGUAGGGGAGCGUUCUGUAAGCCGUUGAAGGUGUGCUGUGAGGCAUGCUGGAGGUAUCAGAAGUGCGAAUGCUGACAUAAGUAACGAUAAAGCGGGUGAAAAGCCCGCUCGCCGGAAGACCAAGGGUUCCUGUCCAACGUUAAUCGGGGCAGGGUGAGUCGACCCCUAAGGCGAGGCCGAAAGGCGUAGUCGAUGGGAAACAGGUUAAUAUUCCUGUACUUGGUGUUACUGCGAAGGGGGGACGGAGAAGGCUAUGUCAGCCGGGCGACGGUUGUCCCGGUUUAAGCAUGUAGGCGGAGGUUCCAGGUAAAUCCGGUACCUUUUAACGCUGAGGUGUGAUGACGAGGCACUACGGUGCUGAAGUGAUAAAUGCCCUGCUUCCAGGAAAAGCCUCUAAGCAUCAGGUAACACGAAAUCGUACCCCAAACCGACACAGGUGGUCAGGUAGAGAAUACCAAGGCGCUUGAGAGAACUCGGGUGAAGGAACUAGGCAAAAUGGUGCCGUAACUUCGGGAGAAGGCACGCUGAUAUGUAGGUGAAGCCCCUGCGGGCGGAGCUGAAAUCAGUCGAAGAUACCAGCUGGCUGCAACUGUUUAUUAAAAACACAGCACUGUGCAAACACGAAAGUGGACGUAUACGGUGUGACGCCUGCCCGGUGCCGGAAGGUUAAUUGAUGGGGUUAGCGGCAACGCGAAGCUCUUGAUCGAAGCCCCGGUAAACGGCGGCCGUAACUAUAACGGUCCUAAGGUAGCGAAAUUCCUUGUCGGGUAAGUUCCGACCUGCACGAAUGGCGUAAUGAUGGCCAGGCUGUCUCCACCCGAGACUCAGUGAAAUUGAACUCGCUGUGAAGAUGCAGUGUACCCGCGGCAAGACGGAAAGACCCCGUGAACCUUUACUAUAGCUUGACACUGAACACUGGUCCUUGAUGUGUAGGAUAGGUGGGAGGCUUUGAAGCGUGGACGCCAGUCUGCGUGGAGCCAUCCUUGAAAUACCACCCUUUAAUGGCUGGUGUUCUAACGUAGACCCGUAAUCCGGGUUGCGGACAGUGUCUGGUGGGUAGUUUGACUGGGGCGGUCUCCUCCCAAAGAGUAACGGAGGAGCACGAAGGUUGGCUAAUCCUGGUCGGACAUCAGGAGGUUAGUGCAAUGGCAUAAGCCAGCUUGACUGCGAGCGUGACGGCGCGAGCAGGUGCGAAAGCAGGUCAUAGUGAUCCGGUGGUUCUGAAUGGAAGGGCCAUCGCUCAACGGAUAAAAGGUACUCCGGGGAUAACAGGCUGAUACCGCCCAAGAGUUCAUAUCGACGGCGGUGUUUGGCACCUCGAUGUCGGCUCAUCACAUCCUGGGGCUGAAGUAGGUCCCAAGGGUAUGGCUGUUCGCCAUUUAAAGUGGUACGCGAGCUGGGUUUAGAACGUCGUGAGACAGUUCGGUCCCUAUCUGCCGUGGGCGCUGGAGAAUUGAGGGGGGCUGCUCCUAGUACGAGAGGACCGGAGUGGACGCAUCACUGGUGUUCGGGUUGUCAUGCCAAUGGCACUGCCCGGUAGCUAAAUGCGGAAGAGAUAAGUGCUGAAAGCAUCUAAGCACGAAACUUGCCCCGAGAUGAGUUCUCCCUGAGACUUUAAGUCUCCUGAAGGAACGUUGAAGACGACGACGUUGAUAGGUCGGGUGUGUAAGCGCAGCGAUGCGUUGAGCUAACCGAUACUAAUGAACCGUGAGGCUUAACCUU